GAUGAACGCUGGCGGCGUGCCUAAUACAUGCAAGUCGAGCGAACGGACGAGAAGCUUGCUUCUCUGAUGUUAGCGGCGGACGGGUGAGUAACACGUGGAUAACCUACCUAUAAGACUGGGAUAACUUCGGGAAACCGGAGCUAAUACCGGAUAAUAUUUUGAACCGCAUGGUUCAAAAGUGAAAGACGGUCUUGCUGUCACUUAUAGAUGGAUCCGCGCUGCAUUAGCUAGUUGGUAAGGUAACGGUUUACCAAGGCAACGAUGCAUAGCCGACCUGAGAGGGUGAUCGGCCACACUGGAACUGAGACACGGUCCAGACUCCUACGGGAGGCAGCAGUAGGGAAUCUUCCGCAAUGGGCGAAAGCCUGACGGAGCAACGCCGCGUGAGUGAUGAAGGUCUUCGGAUCGUAAAACUCUGUUAUUAGGGAAGAACAUAUGUGUAAGUAACUGUGCACAUCUUGACGGUACCUAAUCAGAAAGCCACGGCUAACUACGUGCCAGCAGCCGCGGUAAUACGUAGGUGGCAAGCGUUAUCCGGAAUUAUUGGGCGUAAAGCGCGCGUAGGCGGUUUUUUAAGUCUGAUGUGAAAGCCCACGGCUCAACCGUGGAGGGUCAUUGGAAACUGGAAAACUUGAGUGCAGAAGAGGAAAGUGGAAUUCCAUGUGUAGCGGUGAAAUGCGCAGAGAUAUGGAGGAACACCAGUGGCGAAGGCGACUUUCUGGUCUGUAACUGACGCUGAUGUGCGAAAGCGUGGGGAUCAAACAGGAUUAGAUACCCUGGUAGUCCACGCCGUAAACGAUGAGUGCUAAGUGUUAGGGGGUUUCCGCCCCUUAGUGCUGCAGCUAACGCAUUAAGCACUCCGCCUGGGGAGUACGACCGCAAGGUUGAAACUCAAAGGAAUUGACGGGGACCCGCACAAGCGGUGGAGCAUGUGGUUUAAUUCGAAGCAACGCGAAGAACCUUACCAAAUCUUGACAUCCUUUGACAACUCUAGAGAUAGAGCUUUCCCCUUCGGGGGACAAAGUGACAGGUGGUGCAUGGUUGUCGUCAGCUCGUGUCGUGAGAUGUUGGGUUAAGUCCCGCAACGAGCGCAACCCUUAAGCUUAGUUGCCAUCAUUAAGUUGGGCACUCUAAGUUGACUGCCGGUGACAAACCGGAGGAAGGUGGGGAUGACGUCAAAUCAUCAUGCCCCUUAUGAUUUGGGCUACACACGUGCUACAAUGGACAAUACAAAGGGCAGCGAAACCGCGAGGUCAAGCAAAUCCCAUAAAGUUGUUCUCAGUUCGGAUUGUAGUCUGCAACUCGACUACAUGAAGCUGGAAUCGCUAGUAAUCGUAGAUCAGCAUGCUACGGUGAAUACGUUCCCGGGUCU
rnacentral:rRNA from 1 species